AACAAGCGAUACAAAUUACUUUAGAAGCAGCUUAACUUUCACAUUCAGAGUUCAGCCAAAAACAAUCGUUGAAGAGUGUAAGAAUCUCGUCUAAACAAAAUG
rnacentral:sRNA from 1 species